rnacentral:rRNA from 1 species
AGAGUUUGAUCAUGGCUCAGAACGAACGCUGGCGGCGUNNCUGAGACAUGCAAGUCGUGGGAGAAAGUCGGGGCAACUCGGCGAGUAAACCGGCGCACGGGUGAGUAACACGUGGAUAACCUGCCUUGGAGUUCGGGAUAACCCGUCGAAAGACGGGCUAAUACUGGAUAAGACCACGGGGAGUUCGCUUCCUGGGGUAAAAGGUGGCCUCUGCUCCUGCAAGCUAUCACUUCGAGAGGGGUCCGCGUCCUAUCAGCUUGUUGGUGAGGUAACGGCUCACCAAGGCGAAGACGGGUAGCUGGUCUGAGAGGAUGGUCAGCCGCACUGGGACUGAGACACGGCCCAGAGUCCUACGGGAUGCAGCAGUCAGGAAUAUUGCGCAAUGGAGGAAACUCUGACGCAGCGACGCCGCGUGGGUGAUGAAGGCCUUCGGGUCGUAAAGCCCUGUCGGAGGGAAAGAAAAGCUCGCUGGCUAAUAUCCAGCGGGCCCUUGACGGUACCCUCAAAGGAAGCACCGGCUAACUCCGUGCCAGCAGCCGCGGUAAGACGGAGGGUGCAAGCGUUGUUCGGAUUGACUGGGCGUAAAGGGCGUGUAGGCGGUUGGUCAAGUCUGAUGUGAAAGCCCGGGGCUCAGCUCCGGAGGUGCGUCGGAAACUAGCCAGCUGGAGCGCGAUAGAGGAGAGUGGAAUUCCUGGUGUAGCGGUGAAAUGCGUAGAUAUCAGGAGGAACACCGGCGGCGAAGGCGACUCUCUGGAUCGUUGCUGACGCUGAGACGCGAAAGCGUGGGGAGCAAACAGGAUUAGAUACCCUAGUAGUCC